AGAACACCCAAUUUGAACUAAUUUCAACAAGUUUCAUUAACAAUCUGCAACUACACAAAGUCACAAUUCCCAAACAACCGAAUCAAUCUUAAUGGUGAGGCACAGGAGAUUCCACAAGCAACAGUAAUGUUCAUAGCACAACAAAUUCCACAGGCACAACACAACGUGCAAGCCCAUUAGAGCCAUCGCACAACACGAAUCUGGAGGUGAACCCACCCAGUAAUAGUAGCCAUUGAAGAACCAAAAAUGUCGAAGAAGAAGAAGAAACAGUCAGAAGGGACCCAAACCCAUAUCUACAAUCCCAGCAACAAAAAAAUCAGUCAACAACAAUUUCAAUUUUCAAUUUACAAAUCUAAAACUUUACAAACCCACAAUACAACAAAUCUAACACCUAACGUCAGAAUGAGCUAGAGGGAACCAAGGCUUGAAGAACAAAAACCUAGAAAUACAACAGAUCAAACACCUAAAUCCAUAAAUUAAACCCAAAACACAACAAAUUUAACCCAUAAUAAAAACAUCCAAACCCAAAUAUUCAAAGGCACAACGACAUGGGCCUUGGUGGCGUGGGAAACGAGGGUAGUUCAGGUUCUGAAGGAGGUUCAUCUGCCAACGAAGAAGACCGAAGAAGGAGCUGGGUCUGGUUCAGCUUUGCAAAGAAGACCAAAGAAGAAGGAGCUGGAUCUAGCUCAGAUUCGCGAAGAAGGCCAAAUAAGAAGAAGAAAAGCGGGGCUAAGUGUUGGCUGCUGGUCUGCCAAUGGAAACAUUAAUGGAAGAAGAAGAAGAUCGAG
rnacentral:misc_RNA from 1 species